AACGUAGGAGACAAGCGUUAUCCGGAGUUACUGGGCGUAAAGGGCGUGCAGGCGGUUGAGUAAGUCUGUUGUGAAAGCGCCUGGCUUAACCGGGCGAGGCCAAUGGAGACUGCUGAACUAGAGGGCGGUAGAGGGGUGUGGAAUUCCGGGUGUAGUGGUGAAAUGCGUAGAGAUCCGGAGGAACACCAGAGGCGAAGGCGGCACUCUAGGCCGCACCUGACGCUGAGACGCGACAGCACGGGGAGCGAACGGG
rnacentral:rRNA from 1 species